rnacentral:rRNA from 1 species
GCAGCAGGCGCGAAACCUUUACACUGCACGCCAGUGCGAUAAGGGGAUCCCAAGUGCGUAGGCAUAGAGCCUACGCUUUUGUCCACCUUAGGGUGGUGGACGAAUAAGGGCUGGGCAAGACCGGUGCCAGCCGCCGCGGUAAUACCGGCAGCCCAAGUGAUGGCCGAUCUUAUUGGGCCUAAAGCGUCCGUAGCUGGCCGCACAAGUCCAUCGGGAAAUCCACCUGCUCAACAGGUGGCCGUCCGGUGGAAACUGUGUGGCUUGGGACCGGAAGGCGCGACGGGUACGUCCGGGGUAGGAGUGAAAUCCUGUAAUCCUGGACGGACCGCCGAUGGCGAAAGCACGUCGCGAAAACGGAUCCGACAGUGAGGGACGAAAGCUAGGGUCUCGAACCGGAUUAGAUACCCGGGUAGUCCUAGCCGUAAACACUGCCUGCUAGGUGUGGCUCCCACUACGAGUGGGUGCUGUGCCGUAGGGAAGCCGCUAAGCAGGCCG